GCCUCCGUGGCGCAAUGGCUAGCGCGUUCGGCUGUUAACCGAAAGGUUGGUGGUUCGAGCCCACCCGGGGCGACUGCU